GUCUCAGCUUCUGUUCUUUGUGCUCUUUCUGAGAACUGCGAGCCGUAUUGGCCUCUGGACUGACAACUGAACGAGAUGUCUCGCUUGUACCUCUCCAGGAUCUUCAAGGUUUCUGAAAUCAUCCAGACAACUAGUGAACAGAAUUGCUAGCAUACUUAGACAAGUCUGAAACGUUUUUUUUUGCCCCAAGUUCUUACAUAGUAAUAGUUUACCUGUGUAGCAGUGACAGGGAUUUUAAUAUCUUGAGAUAUAUAUUGGACUAUAUAUUGUUUCUUUUAGAUAAGGAAAUUGAUCUACAGAUAUCCAUAGCAAGAUAAAACAGUUAUUCUUUUGGUAUCAGAGUGGCAAGUUCUCCAACUAAAUCAAAAUGAGCUGGCUGCUUUUCUUUGAGCCACCACAGUUUUCAUUUUACAUAGUUCUGUGAUAGAUUACUGGACAAUAAACUUUGGCUGUCACAUUAAUUCAGACACAUGCUUGUAGUGUGUUGUGGCUACUUGAGCACUGAAAGAUUUCUUGAGCUGGGUAGGUGAGAACUACCUAGAGAUAGAAAGUGUGUGUAAAGUGGUUUGGGAUAUAAGCUCCACUGUUCCCUAUUAUCUGUAAGGUCAGUUCAGAUGCACAAAUUUCACACAAUAUCAGGAUCACAGAAUUGUAGGGGUUGAAAGGAACCUCUGGAGAUCAUCAUAGAAGGCUACCAGGCAGACCAAGUGUGAUUUUCCCUUGGUGAAUCUGUGUUGACUAUUUCCAGUAACCUUCUUCUGCUUGCCUGGAAAUGAUGUCCAGAAUAAGUUGUUCCAUCACCUUCCCAGGGAUGAAGGUGAGGCUGACUGGCCUGUAGUUUUCGGGGCCCUCCUUCUUAUCCUUUUAGAGUACGGGAGUGACAUUGGCCAUCCUCUAGUCUUGAGGUACCUCUCUUGUUCUCCCUGACCUUUCAAAGAUUAUGUGGAAUGGUAUGGCUAUUACUUCUGCCAGCUACUUCAGCACUCAUGAGUGCAUCCUAUUGAGGCCCAUGGAUUUGUGCGUGUUGAGCUUGACUAGAUACUCUCUAGCCUCAUCUUUCUCUAAGAAGAGGAAGUCUUCUUUCCUCAGAUACUCUCUCCUACCUCCUGGGUCUGGGAUUCCUGAGGAGCAGUCCUAGCAGUAAAGACUGAAGCAAAGAAGGCUACAGGUAACUGUUUUUCCCAUGUUCUCUGUUACCAGGGCAUCUCCCUCAUUCAGUAGCAGACCCACAUUUUCUCUAGUCUCCCUUUUGUUACUUACAUACUUAAAGAAUCCUUUCUUGUUGCCCUUGUCCUCCCUCACCAGAUUUAAUUAGAAUGGUUCUUAGCCUUCCUCACUGCAUCCCUGCAUGCCCUGAUGACAUUCUUGUAUUCCUUCCAAGUGGCCAGAAGUGGGAGAAGUUUGGGAUUUGGAAUUGAGAUUGUUUCCAGUGUUCUACUUGGCCAGCACAUUUACUGUGCCUGGAAGCGCCUCCUACCUACAACCGCAUCCUGAAAGAGUGAGACUUUGACAGCUUCUUCACACUGGAGCCAGAACAGGAUCACUUUUGUGAAAUGUAAGGAGUAAGAAAGAUAGGAUUCAAACUGGCCAGUCAGCAGUUGACCUCAGGAUGUGCAAAUCCUCAUUUUAUUCAUACUGAUAACCUGUCCCACAGCUUCUCUGUCACUGGGUGAUUGAUGUCUGCACUAGCUUGUUUUUCAACCUGAUACUGUCCUUCAAGGAGUGGUUUUUUUUUGUUUGUUUGUUUGUUUUGUACGUGGGAAUAUGGUACACAUCCACAGCAUCUGCUGUAUAUACUGCUGGUAUAAGUAGGACUAGGGAAAUAUUAGCCUACUUAUAAGGCUGUAAUCUCACUUCUGGAUUUCUGCCUUUCAUUUGUAGUUAUUGCUCAACCUCAUUUUUCAGAAAGACUAAUAGUACUGAGCAUAAUGAGGUGGGAGUGUGAAAUGCAAAAUGAAUUGGAGUUUAAUAAGUCAUUCCUUUCCACUAUUGUUAUUUUUAUAUAUUUAUUUGUGUGUGUGUUUCUUUCCCUCUUCAUGUUCCCAUGUAUAAGCUACUGGAGCUCAGCUUUGUGCCUUCUGGUACAUGGGUGUUUUUCUGUGGUCUGCUCCACGGUGUUGUUGAAGACCAAAAUGUAAUCAUCUUAAUUGUCUUCUUGAUGAACUGUAGAGAAGUAAAAUCUGAAGGUGGCUGACCAUGGGAUUGCUCACCCAGUGACUGACAGCCUACCUGCAACACGUGCUCUAAGCCACAUUUGCCUCUGAUGUGGUUUUACCAGACCUUUUGGCAACGCAAGUCCUAAACUAUCAUGGCUGCUAAUAUGUUUCUACUAGAUGAGAGCGGGUACAGAUGUCUCUUCUAAGAAUGAUAUUUGCCCUGUGGUGGAAAAUCACUGUAUGCCACAAACAAUCUGAGGGAAGUGUGCAUAGGCCUCUUGAACAGCAGAACUCAAUAGAAAUAAUCCCGGUACGCAUGUUGAACUUAUACUGGCCUAUGACAUUGUAUGGUAACUGUUGAGGCAUGGCCUAAACCACUGAUUGAGCACCUGGGGAAAAGAUGCUGGGAGCACAGGUGAAGGCAAUUCAGCUGUGUGACCAGCAGGUGUAAAGCCUGACUGCACCUCUCUUUGACCUCAUUUAAGGGCUGACUGCCACUCUGGGAGGUUUUUUGGUCGGUGAUCCCUUCUGUGUGGAGUUUCCCUUAUGAGCCUAGUUCUUCAGAGGAAACAUGCAUGUUGUGGUUGGAACGCUGAAUCCCUGUGCUGUGUCAUGUGAAACCAAUGCGACUUCUGCUGCAGCUCUAGCAGGUAUAGCAUCAGGGUGUUUCACAUCAAGCUUAAGAAGCAGUGGGACUGGAGAACAGCAGCCAAGGUGCCUGGAGGAUCUGUCAACAUUUCAGACUCUGAAGACUUACUGGCAACUAAGAAAAGACUCAAAGGACAAGAAAUCAUUCAUAAGUUUUUUGUUAAAUCAUCAGGUCGUCUGGCUCACACAACCAUAUCUUUUUCAUAAAUGAUACUUUUACUGCUCUUUUUUUUUUAAUACUAGAAGCCAUUCAGCAUAAGGUCCUGUGUUACAUUCUUGGCUUUCUUUCCCUGUGCCAUCUGUUAUUAUGGUGUAUUGUUGAAAGGUUGGUGUUGCUAUUGCACAUGUGAGAGUAAAACAGACAGGGCAUACCAUGUCAAUUCAUAGUGCCAAAACAUGGGCUGCAUUUUAAAUUAAUUUUCAGGAGGUUGAAGCUAAUGGUCUUUAUAAGGUUUCCAGAUUUGAGCAGGCUGACAAAAUGACAUGUAAUAACUGCCUUGCUGAGCAGAGCUGGCUUUUGAAUGUAAUUCAGGAAUUGGAGCAGCCUCUCACCUUUCGAUCCUUUUCCCUCCAUCCCCAGCUCCAUCUUGCAUUUCUGAGGAGGCUGAAAUUGCCUAUUUCAUGUCUUCAUUCAGUGUUUUUAGUUGGUCCCUUCUCACCCAGCCUUUGCCCUAUUUUUUUUCUCUAUGCUCAUGUAGUUUUGAGGUUCCUUGGUUCUGGAUGUCCAGCAUUGGCCUAUAGAAUGUAAGCACUGCAAGGAGGUUCAGGCUUAUAUAGUGUAUUUCUAUAUUGCAUAUGUAGUUGACCUUUCUUUGUAAUUCAUGACUUGGGUUUCUUUAAGUUGUUUUUUCUUCUGUUUCUUUCUAUCCAAGUAGUUUUGGCUGUUCUUCACCUUUUCUCUUAACCCACCUAAUGAAGCUUUACUUAAAACCUGUUUAGUUUUUGUUCUCGCCUGUUCAAUUUGCCUGCGGGAAGUAUUAAUGACGAUACCAAAUGAGUGAGACUAUACAUAAUAAAAGUUAUAAUAAAAGUUGUUAUAUAAAAAUUAAUACUUAUAUAGGAAGAGCUACAUAAAUGUAGAGGCAUGCUGAGAAUGGCUUGCUGUUUUGAUGCAGCAGGAUGCCUGUCUAGAAUAUGUUGUGCAAUUUUACAGUUUCCAGAUACCUCAAUGUGGAUGGAAAGAUGGAAUUUAGUCCAUAUUGCUAAAGGAUUAGAAGCUGAAGUAUAGAUUUUAAUACUCCAAAAGAUGCUGAGGAAGGAUAGUUUGUUGUCUGCAUUUAAUUCUGUGAAACUGAGAGAGCGGAGGAUGGAUAUAUUGGAUGUAUAAUUUUUCAAGAGAAGCUGAGGUUUGUCUUGAAGGUUCUGGCUAUCUUUUUUUUUUUUCUCCUCCAUGUUUUCUCCUUCUCUUUCCCUUCCUUCCCAACACACGUGUAUUGUUGUUCAAUUCACUUUCAUCUUUUCUCUUGACUGCUGAUUAUGCCAUUUUUCUUCAUAAACUCCAAAACUCUUUUCAGAGUCAACCCACAUAACUGUUAUUGCUAACCUAUUCUCACCAUGUAAGAGAAAAAGCAGUCGUCUUUGCCAAUCUGGAGUCCUUUACCUGCAGAAAUUGGUGAUUUCAGUGAAUCCAGCAGUGGAACACAUGCAUUCCUCCCUGCUGUCUUUUUUAUUGGGGUAUCAGCUGUGUGUGGCUGGACAGGCUGAAUUCUGGGGGAAAUGGCCUCUGGCCUCAAGGCAAAUUACUGCUGCUUCACUGGGCUUCUUGCCUGUCUCUGCUCUUACACAAAGAAUGUGUCCUGCAUGUACAGCAUCUGAACUGUCUUUAAACUCUGUAUUAGAAUAAAAUAGGUUUUCUGGAAGAUGGGGGAAACACCUGAGGCUAUAAUUCAGAGGAGUCUUCAUUCUAGUUUCAUUGCCUAGC